AUUUUAUUGUGUGGAGACUAAAUUUGAAUUUACAUUUUUUAAAAUUGUUCAAGUAUUUGCAUUUGAUUAUCUGUGCAUUAUUUUUAUAUUUUCUCUAUUGAAAAACUGUUUUCCUAGAUUAUCUUUUUGAGUACUUGGAGAUGUAGAGGAAUUAAUUAAUUUUUUUAUGUGUAUAGCUUGUACCCAUUUUUAUCAAGAGAUGAAAAAAUAGAGAGAAUAAAGGAGAGAAGGGUAUGGGUGCAGGGGAAGGAAAUAUAGGGAGAGAAAUAAGGGAGAGAGGGUCAGGGUAAAAAAAUAAUAGAAGGGACUAAAGAGUUAACAGAAUCAAAUUACUGAAACUAACUAAUGCGUUUUUUAAAAUAUAGGGAACAACUAAUUAGUUUCACUAAAAUAUAGGGACUAAAUAGUAGUAUGAAUAGUAUGAAUAACAAAAACUUGACAUAGGACUAAAUAGUUUAAUGAAAGUAAAAUACAGGGGGCUAAAUGGUAAUUUUUCCUUAAUAUUUUGAGUACCACUGAGAUUGUACAAAAAUAUGGCGUCAAUUUGCUUUCUAUGUGAUCUUAUAACCACCAAGGAGAAAAUGAUUGUGAUGGAAUACAUAUUUUUAUGUAUGUCUUUGCUUUUGGCUUAAUGUUGGGUCUUUAAUUCAUUAUUAUUGUGGUUGUUGUUGUUGUGGCGGUGGUGUACUGGUGAUAGAAGAGUACAAUAUUUUCUCCAAUGGUAGAAUUGUAAUUGUCCUCCAUGGGUUAGAUUCAACAUAAUAUCUGAUCUAUUGAAAUAAUUUCUUUCUGAGCAGUGGGCCUACUGUAGAGUAUUAUUUGACAAAUGUUUAAUUCUUUUUAAGUCCAUUCUUAAGCUAUAAAAUGGGAUAGUCCUCCGUCUCAUAGGCCUUCUUAUUCUAGCAGUUUACAAUAUGGUGCUAAUUAGCUAAUUGUAAUUUAAACUUUAGAUGAGGUUCUUAGCUUAUUGGAUUUCAGGUCUGACUUAGCAGUGAUCAGGGGAAGUUCAAAAUGGAAAACAAAGAAUUGAACCUUAUCCAUCAUGGAGAAUUAAAAUCAACAGACAGUUUCACCUGAAAAUUUCUCAAUUUUAUUAAGUUGUGUUAAGCAAAGUAUCAUUCAUUCGAGAGUGAAUGUGUUUCCUUAACCCUCAUAAGCAGAAUGCCAUAGUGAUUACCCUUUUGCUGUUCUAGGUAUGUCAACCGUGCAUUGUAUCUUUUGCAUUUAACAUGUGGGCCAUCUCAUCCAAAUACGGCUGCCACAUAUAUCAAUGUAGCAAUGAUGGAAGAAGGAUUGGGGAAUGUCCAUCUCGCUCUUAGGUACCUCCAUGAGGCUCUGAAGUGUAAUCAGCGACUACUUGGUGCUGAUCAUAUACAGACUGCUGCCAGCUACCAUGCUAUAGCAAUUGCUCUAUCUUUGAUGGAAGCUUACUCCUUGAGCGUUCAGCAUGAACAAACUACACUGCAGAUACUGCAAGCGAAACUUGGGUCUGAAGAUCUACGCACACAGGAUGCAGCUGCAUGGCUUGAGUAUUUUGAGUCCAAGGCUCUGGAGCAACAAGAAGCUUCACGCAAUGGAACCCCAAAGCCAGAUGCCUCAAUAUCCAGUAAAGGUCAUUUAAGGUAAUAAUUAUAAGUUUAAAAGGGGAUUUAUUUAUUUAUAUUAUUUUAUUUUGUUUUUGAUUUCCUUUAUGUGAAUAAGAAUACCAGACAUUAUGCUAUCGGCUGGGAAAAUUAAAUGAGCAUCUAUUUGUAUUUAUAGGUUCCUAAUGUUUCUUAUCUGCAGUUAGUAUUAUUGCUUAUUUAAAAAAUUAGGCAGAGUUUAUAUGAUUGGCAUGAUAAUUCAUGUUCAAGUCUAAAAGUGGCCAUUGAUAUCAAAUAUAAUCUUAUACUUGUAUUUUUUAUAAUUCAAAUGGUUUUCUAAGAAGAGCUUUUAGUGGGUUUCUCUCUUUUUGUUGUUUUUGGCUUCUGGAAAUGAUGUUAUCUGCUUGUGGAAUCAAAACCACUGCUACCCAAACCUCCUACCUGAUUAGAGUGGGCAGAUGAAUUUGAUAGUCUUUCCACAACUAAAUGUAAUAUUUUCUCAUUUUGGAUCAGUGUAUCAGACCUUUUGGAUUAUAUAACGCCAGAUGCAGAUAUGAAAGCAAGAGAAGCUCAAAAGAAAGCUCGUUCAAAGGUGAUAAAUUUCUUUAGUUGGAUCUAUUCUCUCACGUUACUUGUUUUAACAUAUUCUUCUACCUAAAAUUUCAUCACACAGGUUAAAGGCAAACCAGGUCAAAACUGGGAAACAGUCUUAGAUGAAUCUCAGAAAGAUGAAACUUUCUCACCAAUCUAUCCUGUUUUGGAGAAUUCAAGUGAUAAGGAAAACAAAUCUGAGGUUCAGUUUGCAGAAAUUAGGAAUGAGAGUACUGAUUCAAGUCUCCCAGAUCAGUCAAUAAUUAAUAUGAGUGAUGAUAAAAUACAGGAGGAUGAGUCAAAUGAAGGAUGGCAAGAAGCUGUACCUAAAGGCCGUUCACCUACAAGUCGGAAAUCUUCUGGUACAAGGAGGCCAAGCCUAGCUAAACUAAAUACUAACUUUAUGAAUGUGUCCCAGUCAUCAAAAUUCCGAGGAAAGCCCACCAAUUUUACAUCCCCAAGGACAAGCCCAAAUGAUUCUGCUGCUUUUACUGGACCCAGUAUUCCUGUUCCUAAAAAGUUUGUUAAAAGUGCUAGCUUCAGUCCAAAGAAAAAUAAUUCUGGUGCUGCAGGUGGUGGAAUAGAGAAAUCAAUUGACCCUAAAUCAGCCCCAGCUACUCCUGCUUCAACUGAUCAAAUUUCCAAAUCAGUUUCAGUGGCAAGUCCUGUAAGUGUUCAGGCAGCUGGAAGACUCUUCUCCUACAAAGAAGUUGCUGUAGCUCCUCCUGGUACAAUUGUGAAGGCAGUUGCAGAACAGCUGCCAAAAGAAAAUCUUCCUAUAGAACCAAGUCCUCAGUUAAGCCAUAAGGCAGCUGCAUCAGAGGUCAAUAUUGGUGGAGUGACUGAGUUGAAAGACGUAGAGGAAGAAAAAGUAGAGAACCCUGAAGGAGAGAGAAAACCACUUGGCUCUGAGGAAAGAAAAGAUCCCAUCAAUGGAGAGCCAGAAACAGAAAUAGGGAAUUCAGAGGUGAUGGAACCACUGGAAGGAACAAAAUGUGUGCAUGAUGAUCACGUAGAUAAAGAAGCUGUGAUAUUUGAAAAUAAAACUGCUGAUGCUGAAGUUACAAAUGUUAGAGUUCUGAGAAAUGAGAAUUUAGACACUUCCAAAGAUUCAAAUGCCUCUUCUUCUAAAAGUGAUGCGUUGGAAACAAGAGAUUUAGACCUUUGCCCAUCAGUUUCCCCUGAUCCAGAACCUCUACCUGUGUUAUCUGAAAAUGCAGCUUUGUUGGUAGAAAAAGAUACUUCAGUUCCAAGUGAAAAACUAAUAGAUGAGAAUUCUCAGGAUCUAUCUAGGGACACGAGUGAUAAGGCAUUGACAACUGAAGUAGAAAAACAAGAUGAAGCAGAAACUGGAAAGGAGACAACAAAGAAACUUUCUGCAGCUGCACCGCCAUUUAAUCCAUCCACAGUUCCAGUUUUUGGCUCAGUUACUGUUCCAGGGUUCCAAGAUCAUGGAGGAAUUCUUCCUCCACCGUUGAAUAUUCCUCCAAUGCUUACAGUUAAUCCUGUCCGCAGAUCACCUCACCAGUCAGCGACAGCUAGGGUUCCCUAUGGUCCAAGGCUAUCUGGUGGCUAUAAUAGAUCUGGGAAUCGGGUUCCACGUAACAAACCUACCUUCCACAGUGGUGAACAUAAUGGGGAUGGGAAUCACUUCAGCCCUCCUAGAAUAAUGAACCCUCAUGCUGCUGAAUUUGUGCCAGGCCAACCUUGGGUUCCCAAUGGCUAUCCUGUGUCACCAAAUGGUUACUUGGCUACCCCAAAUGGUAUGCCAGUGUCUCCAAAUGGUUUCUCCAUGUCUCCAACAAGUAUUCCAGUGUCACCAAAUGGAUUUCUAGCAUCAUUGAAUGGUAUUCCAGCGGUGCAAAAUGGCUUUCCAGCAUCUCCAGUCAGUUCAGUAGAAACACCCACAUUGGUUCCCAUCGACUUAGGUGCUGAAAACAAAGGUGAAGCUGCAGGAGAAACUAGUGCUGAAAAUUCCUUGACAGAAAACCAGCCAAGUGAGCAAAAAUGUCAUGAACCAGAUGAAAAUGCACAUCCUGAAAGUGAAGAAAAGCCUACAAAUAUAGCCCCUUUGACUGGUGAUAAUGCUAUGGCAAAAGAAACGUGCAACAGCAUAUUGAUUGAGGAGAAACCAAGCAAGUGCUGGGCAGAUUACAGUGACAGUGACGGUGAGAUUGUUGAGGUUACUAGUUGAAUGAAGGCAUAUAUUUUUUUCCUUUUUUUUUUUCUUAGACGUUAAGCGAUUUCCUUGCAACACAAGCUCCAUGGCAAUGAAAAGAGAGAGAACAAGUUGACAGUUGAGGGAGGCCCCUGUAAUGACUGGAAAAACUGUUUUAAGUUUGACAUAGUCAAGUUUAGGCCUUGAAAUUGUGAAUGUUUUCGGAUACAUUUUGGUUUUGCUGCAUUGAGGGAGGAGAAUCCUUGAUGGAGAGAUUUGUUAAUGAAAAUUACCAUCACCGUGAAAGAAUCUGUUGAGCAGCUCGUAGCUAAAUUAGUGAGUCUCUGCCUUCUUAUAAUUUUGUUUUGUCAUUCUCCUGCUAUAUUUUUUGUUUGUUGUCAACUCAAAAUAAAAUAACCUUUGAAGAUUUAUACAUUCCAAGUCGUACUCUUAGUAAAUUCACAACCAUUUUUAAGGUAUGCAAUAAAUUUCAACUAUGUUCCAUGUAUAACAAUAUAUAACUUUGUAGCAGCACUUGAUUUUAUU
rnacentral:misc_RNA from 1 species